AUCAGUGGAUAUGUUAUUGGCCGUCAUUAGAGACACGCGCGGUUGAUCAACGCCACGCGCUUCCGCAGUUUAAUGCUUAAUAUCAGGUCCUCAAAAAUGGCGACUUUAGGACAGCUGCUUCCAACUGGCAGUGGCGCAGUGCUAAAUUCUAGGACCCUUUUGCCGUCUCCCUUCCCUUCGCUAACUACAACUAGAAAUUUCAGAGUGAAAAUGUCAAUUCCGGCGACUCAAGCUUCGAUAGUGCUCCCCGAAAAUCGCAUCAUAUUAGGUUGUGGGUCGGUGGGAGUGGACUUCUUGGCUGCUGUUGCUUCUUAUCCUAAUCCAGAUGAUAAGAUUCGAAGCACUAGCUUUCAGGUUCAGGGAGGUGGUAAUACUGGGAAUGCUUUGACUUGUGCAGCUCGCCUUGGCCUAACUCCUAGAGUUAUUUCAAAGGUUUCUAAUGACUCUCAAGGAAAGGGGAUACUGGAGGAACUAGAAGCUGAUGGUGUAGAUUCGUCUUUUAUCGUGGUGUCUGAUGGGGGCAAUUCACCAUUUACCUACAUCAUUGUUGACAACCAAACGAAGACUCGCACUUGCAUUCACACCCCUGGAUAUCCACCCAUGAUACCUACUGAUCUUUCCCAAUCAAAUUUGUUCUCAUCAUUGGAUGGUGCUAAGCUUGUCUAUUUCGACGGGAGAUUGCAUGAAACUGCUGCUGUUGUAGCAGAGGAGGCAAAUAGAAGGGGUAUACCCAUUUUAAUUGAUGCUGAGAGGAAAAGAGAAGGAUUAGAUCACCUUUUGAGCUUCGCAAGCUAUGUUGUUUGCUCAACCAAAUUUCCUCAGGAAUGGACUGAGGCUUCUUCUAUUCCAAGCGCCCUUCUUUCCAUGCUCUUAAGAUUGCCAAAAGUUAAAUUUGUUAUUGUGACAUUGGGUGAAGAUGGUUGCUUAAUGCUACAAAGGACAGAAAUGGACAAUCUUGACCCGGAAGAAAGGGAUGUCGACGAUUUGUUCGAAAAGCUGAAUCAGAAAAAAGACACUAAUGCAACAUCGCCAGCAUGCAUAUCCUCGGUAUUUACCUGUUCAUCGUUUUCUGUAAAACAAGCAGUUAUGGAGGAAUCAUGCAAAAAAUGUGGCAAAGCUACAUGCAAAAGGGAUAGGGACAAUCAGCGGCAAGUUACUUGUGGGGACAGCUGAAAGUAUACCUCAGACAGAACUAGUUGAUACAACUGGUGCUGGAGAUGCAUUCAUUGGUGCAGUUCUUUAUUCUAUCUGUGCCAACAUGCCACCAGAGAAAAUGUUGCCAUUUGCUGCUCAAGUGGCAGCUAUUAAAUGCAGAGCCUUGGGAGCUAGAGCUGGCCUUCCGCAUUACACAGACCCUCGCUUGACACCUUUUUUAGUCUAGAGAGCCCAAGGGAUGGCCGCCAUGGUUCUACUGUUGUAGAAAAUGGAAGCAAAACUGGUCAUCGACUUGGGCUUUUUCUUAUUGUGUUUUUAACAGGGUUUCUGUGGACUGACAUUCUGCUUCUUUUCUUACAGCAUCUACCCUGAAAUUUUAUGGCAAAGGCUAAAAUGUCCUUUCUAUGUGUAUAAUUCGAUGUUACUAGCUGCUCGAGUUUCUUCAAAUGUCUGAUGGAUUUGUUUGUUCUUGUGA